rnacentral:lncRNA from 1 species
GUACAUACCAAACAAACCCUUUAGAGUAGAUAAUAUCAUAAAUAUCUACCUUUGACAUUGUAGGCUCGAUCAUAUAAAUAAAAAUAGGAUCAAUAGGAGAUAAUUUUUGAAGUCAAUGAUUGUGAAUCAUUAUCAACUUAUCAAUUAUAUUUUCUUGGUAAUAUGAUCAAGUCACCUUUUGCUCGAAAAGGUGAAUAAGCCAAUGAUGUUCUGAGUCUAAUACAUAC